rnacentral:rRNA from 1 species
UGCUUUGUACGGAACGAAACGGCUUUUCUAAUACAGAGAGCUAAUGACGGUACCGUAAGAAUAAGCACCGGCUAACUACGUGCCAGUAGCCGCGGUAAUACGUAGGGUGCGAGCGUUAAUCGGAAUUACUGGGCGUAAAGCGUGCGCAGGCGGUUAUGUAAGACAGAUGUGAAAUCCCCGGGCUCAACCUGGGACCUGCACUUGUGACUGCAUAGCUAGAGUACGGUAGAGGGGGAUGGAAUUCCGCGUGUAGCAGUGAAAUGCGUAGAUAUGCGGAGGAACACCGAUGGCGAAGGCAAUCCCCUGGACCUGUACUGACGCUCAUGCACGAAAGCGUGGGGAGCAAACAGGAUUAGAUACCCUGGUAGUCCACGCCCUAAACGAUGUCAACUGGUUGUUGGGUCUUCACUGACUCAGUAACGAAGCUAACGCGUGAAGUUGACCGCCUGGGGAGUACGGCCGCAAGGUUG